AAAUAGAUAACCUGUUGUGUGGCUAUGUAUUCAUGCCUAGCUUUCUUUCUGAGAAGAGCACGAACGAAAGACUUCGCUUUCCCCAAAAUUCACUCAGACUUGAACAUACUUCGAGCUUACUUUGAAAACUCAAACUUCAAACUCCAAUGCCGCUCUGAAAACUCAAAAAUUAUUUUGAUCUGGGAGGCGUCUAUCGAGAAUAGAAACAACCACAAAUAGAAGCUGUUUUCCGAUGCUGGCCAAAAAUCCUCCUCUCAGCAGAUCUGACGCCGACCACCAAUGCCUGCAAUCCUUGUAGCGAGUCACUGACUGGAUUCAUUGGUUCAAAGGAGAUGAUGCUCCUGAUUGAAGCGGUGGUGACUGAAAGAAAGAAAAGAAUUGGGACAAAACUCCGGGUCUAAUCUUAACAAGAAGUUUCUAGCAAUAUAUCAUAGCAAAGGAAAUUGAGCUCUCUAGUGGAGAAACCGAAACGGGGCUAGAGGACAGCGAAGCAACAAAAGCCCAAUUAGUUGCAACGAAAGCACAAUUGGCCGAAUUCUCAACCAAGCUUGAAGCUGCCUUUAAUGCUUCUGUGGACAAACUUCAAAACUCUGUGAUAUGUUAGUUGGCGAAGAACAAGGAACCGCGAAGAGAGUGCAUAUUAGGACUACAUUACAGCUUGGGUAUGCCGUCGGCCAUCAACGAGGUUCUAGAAAACUCAUUGGUGGACACAACUUGCUUGACCAGAGGAGCUAGCUGGUCUAGUUGGAACAUAACUUCCAAACAGCCAGGGAGUUGGCCGAAAUCGACACUCGAGUGGAAGAAAUGAGUACCACGGAUGGAGCACUUUUUCGGCCUCUCAUGGAAAAAGUUUGGUAUUUAUGAUAGCAUUAAAAUGUUUGAGAAAGAAAUCUACAUGGACCGGCCUCUUCUUGCUGUUGCCUUAUGUUUUUGGUCAUCUGCUACUAACACCAUGAACCUGCUGCUUGGGUCAAUGAGUCCAACCUUGCUAGAUAUGGUUGCAAUAUUUGGUUUUCGGCUGAAUGGAGAGGAGAUAUGUGCCUUAGCUAACCUUCCUUCCUCUUUUCAUGCUAGCCUGAAACCUAAAGUGAACAAGGACGACAAGAAGGCCAAACAAAAAGCAGAUGUUAAAGCAAGGAAGUUGCUUAACUAUAGCACCUUCUACGCCGAACAUGCAAUUGCUGAAGAUGUGUCCGCGGUUGAGAGGCACAACCCAAAACAACAUGAGCAAGCCGCUUUCCUCCUCUAUUAGUUAUGCAAAUAUGUGUUUUGCACUAAGUCGAAUAAGUGUUUGUUCGAGUUCGCUGGUAUUGCAGAGGCCUUUAGCUUGGGUAAACCUUUAGCCCUUGGUCCAUUUGUCCUUGCCUAUCUUUACCGUACUUUGCGCAAUGUAGUGACCAACAAUAUGACACUAGAUGUUGGAGGGCCACUAUGGAUGUUUCAGGUAUGGGUGCAAACUUACUUUCGUCAGCUUUGGCCAAGUCGUGCUUUUGAUUCCACUGUGACUCUCGGCCGACAGAUCAUCUCUCUUGGUCCUCAUGCACAUUCAGUAGUAGAGUGCUUUUCUUUCUUCCUUUCGAAAAAGAGCAUGACCAGGGAAGAGUUUGCCAUAUGUUAUAGUUGAGAUUAUCCUUCUUGUCUUGCAUUUGACAUAACUAAGCCAUGGGAGAGUUCUUUGGACUUAUCAGUACUUCUACCUUGGGGAAGCAUUAUGAUUUCUAGAGACAUAAACUAUGGUCUCAAGGGUACACUGGGUCGGCCAGGGGUUAAGGUUUACCUUCUAAACUUUGUUACGAGUUAGCUUGGCUUCAUACAAAGUUGUCCAGCCUUCUUUCUAAUGUCCCGGAAUCAUUUUUCUUCAUGGAGAGGUGGGUUUACAGACACUACGCAUUGUUCGGCUAUCACUCUUCAUUAUCAUACUCAAUUUGGCAAGUUUGAGAGAUUUGACAUGAGCGCCCGCAAACCUGAACAUCGAUCAACCCCGACUUUCCAAGCAUGGUGGUCAACAUUUAUCAAGAAGAAACUUAGAGAGGACUUGCGGACAACCGAGUGUAUUGCCUUGUAUGUAUUUCCGGGCUUGUUCGCCAAAAAAGGCAAUGGCAAGAAGAAAGCACCGGUUGCCAACUCGAAAUCCAAAGAAUUGUCCAAGGAAGGUAAAUCCUAACUCAUCAUCUGACCGUCGCUAAUUUCUUUAAUUGCUAAUUUUUCUAUCUUUCAGAGCAAACAUCAAAGAAACGAGGAUCAAAGUCAGGAAGAGCUUUGCCUACCAAGAAGGUAAAGAAGUCGCCUGAUGUGGUGGAGAGUUCGGUCACAAAUCCAACCGACGUUAUGGUUAGUGAAGACAUAAUCUUCGAGGAUGAUAUGGAUAUAGAAUAGCCAAAAUGCUCUAGCUGAAAAUCACAUCAUGUCUGGAGCUAAAGAUGCAGCCAAAACUAGUGAUGCCUCAACCAACAGCAUGGACUCGGCCGAUAGCGAAGGUUUGCCUGAUGAAGCACAGUCGGAAAACUUUGAACAUGAGUAGAAAGAUGGCCACAUUGAUCACUCUUUGCAACCUUCUGAGAGCUCCAUGGUUGAAAUUGAUACGGAUGACUUGGGUGAGAACCAGCUUCCUAAUAUUGACCAACCACUCGCAAACUCAGCCAACCUUGCUAAGGAUGCGGAAGACAUCGGUGUACUUGGCCGAGAGGCAUUGCUUAACAACCAAGCACUUGUCCUGCUAAGAUAUUUCAAUCCGGUUUGGUGUGCAUCGCUCCCAUAUUCUAGAAACAACUUGAACCUUUAUUGUUUGUGCAGGUACCAGAAUCUCGAAGCGGUUCAACCUUGGAAUUAGCUCUUCUCAACCCAACUGAACCAAAUCCUUCUAUGUUCGGAAUGCUUACCUCCCCUCUUACCGAAGGGAUGCCCCGAAGUGAUCAAGCUAUCAUUUGCGCCCCAUCAUCGGCUAAGCCUAUGGUGAGUGACUAAACAACUUUAGGUUUUGUUCGCCCUAGCUAAAUUAAAUCAACCUCGUAAGAGUUUGAAGCCGGCGAGAAGUUGAAAAGUGAGUAUGAUGACAUUCACCAAUCUACCGAUCUUGGCCAACUCCAAAAGUUGAAGACUUCUUUGGACGAGGGAAGGUAAAAAGUGCUUGAUCUGAGGAAGCAGUUGGCCGAGGCUAAUGAGCAAGUUAAAGUCACUUCGACCGCCAUCCGAACCGUUAUUCCCCAACAAGAUCUCACCAGGUAUAGCUUGAUUUUGUCAUCGAUCAAGUCGUAUAACAUAAAGAGGGGCAUCUUGAAGCGAAAGGUCAACCAAGGUAUGCAAGACUUAGAAAAUGUUAAAGAAGCUCUUCGGUCACUCUUGCCUAUUGAUUAGUUAAUUUAGGAUGUGAUAUUCAUCUCGGCUUAUAUUUUGUACAUGGCCUUAGUCCCGUAACGCAGCCGGUUGAUACGUCUUUGUAGAGUCUAACCGACCUUAUCUGUUGGACUCAUACUCUAAUUUUGCGUAUGUGACCAGUUAAUCAUUCGGUCGUUAUUUUGUCACUUGAUUCGGCCUCUUUUGACUUAAUAUAUCUUGGUCA